GACGAACGCUGGCGGCGUGCUUAACACAUGCAAGUCGAGCGGUAAGGCUCCUUCGGGAGUACACGAGCGGCGAACGGGUGAGUAACACGUGAGUAAUCUGCCCUUCACUUCGGGAUAACCACCGGAACCGGUGGCUAAUACCGAAUACGACCAGUCUUCGCAUGAGGUUCUUGUGGAAAGUCUUUUCGGUGAAGGAUGUGCUCGCGGCCUAUCAGCUUGUUGGUGGGGUAAUGGCCUACCAAGGCUUCGACGGGUACCCGGCCUGAGAGGGUGACCGGCCACACUGGGACUGAGACACGGCCGAGACGCCGACGGGGGGCAGCAGUGGGGAAUAGUGGACACUGGGCGAAAGCAUGAUCCAGCAACGCCGCGUGAGGGAUGACGGUCUUCGGGUUGUAAACCUCUUGCAGUACCGACGAAGCGACCUGUCGGGUGGUGACGGUAGGUACAGAAGAAGGACCGGCCAACUACGUG
rnacentral:rRNA from 1 species